GAGUGCAUUUGGGCUAGCAAACCUGGGGGAGCUAGGAAGGUAGGACAAGGCUCAGGGAAAGGCAGUAAGGUCUAGAUGGGAACUAACCUUGACUGGCUGGCUAAAGGGUCACAGAGCCAGAACCUGGUGUAAGGGGUGGGCCCAUAUUCCACUGCCAGUCACUGAGGGAGUGGCACUAAGAGGCAGUGAAUGGGAACACUGCCUAGGACUGCUGGCGAAGAAAGACUUGAUACCCAGGAAGGGGAAAAUGCAUCUAGUGAUCUGGUCAGAGGGCUGAGUCAUGAAGAGGCAGCAGCAGCUCAUGCAGUGAGAGAGGGGCCACAGACCUAGAGAGAGAGAGGCAGAAGAUAAAAUGCAACUGUGGGAAGGGGUGUUGACCUCAUGAGCUAUUCCCCAGGACGACCAGGAGGAGGUGCCAUCCUAGUGCAAAGCUCCCUCCCGUCCAGCCAAAAUGCAUCUGCCAAAGUUAUCUCAUUGCCUACCAAUGAUCUGACACAUUUCCAUCAGAAAGAAGACUGUAUCAAGCUAUAGAACUCAGACAGAUGGGGUACCCUCCCAUCGCUGUAGAAAACUUCCAGUGCUGACUGACCUCUAGCAGUGUGCAACAAGCACAGGAAUAAAGAACCCAAACGUCGGGGGGGAAUCCUGAAAUAACAGGAACAGCUCCCAGCUGCUGCUGCUGCUGCUCUUUCCCAGAACUUGACAUCAUCAGCACAUGAAUUAGAGAAAUGUGAUGUUAAUCAUGACAGCUAGUAAAGUCUGAAUUCAAA